GUAGAAGAAACUGCAAUGAUUUUAUCUCUUCGUGAGAGUGUUGAAAAUUGUAAAAAUGCACUCACAACAUGCCAAACAGAGCUUGAAGCUGCGAAAUCUGAAAUUCAGAAGUGGCGCUUAGCAUUUGAGAAUGAAUCUUUCAUACCUGCUGGGGCAUCUCCUGAACCUAAACUUGUGAUCAAUUACCUUCAGACCGUGAAAUCCUCUGAGGAGUCUUUGAGAGAACAGCUAGAAAAAGCAAAGAAAAAAGAAGCUGCCUUCAUUGUAACAUUUGCAAAACGAGAGCAAGAGAUAGCAGAAUUAAAGUCUGCAGUUCGGGAUUUGAAAGCACAGCUCAAGCCACCAUCAAUGCAGGCAAGGAGAUUAUUGUUGGAUCCAGCAAUUCAUGAGGAAUUUACACGUUUAAAGAAUUUGGUUGAGGAGAAAGACAAAAAGGUAAAGGAACUGCAGGAUAAUAUUGCUGCUGUCAAUUUUACCCCACAAAGCAAGAUGGGGAAGAUGCUUAUGGCAAAAUGUAGAACCCUGCAAGAGGAAAAUGAGGAGAUUGGAAAUCAAGCUAGCUGAAGGAAAGAUACAUGAGUUAGCAAUGAAACUUGCCUUGCAGAAAUCUCAAAAUGCAGAACUCAGGAGUCAAUUUGAAGGACUUCACAAACACGUGGAUGGCCUGAUUAAUGACGUGGACAAAUCAAAUGAAAUGGUACUUACAUUGCAAGAGAAGCUAGAAGAAAAGGAUCUCGAACUUAACAGGUUGAAGCUUGAACUCCAGCAGAAAGGCAUUGAAGAGGGCAAAACUGAUUCAGCUCAUAAUGUAGACAGUGAUGAAAUAGUGAAACCUAAACAGGAAACUGAUAUAGACUAGACUUUAAACAAUUUUGGUGGAAUGUCAUCAUUUUUUCCCUUUCAUGUUUGUACUUUGUACAUUAAACAUGCCUCUU
rnacentral:misc_RNA from 1 species